rnacentral:rRNA from 1 species
GAUGAACGCUAGCGGCAGGCUUAACACAUGCAAGUCGAGGGGCAGCGAGGGUAGCAAUACCUGUCGGCGACCGGCGGAAGGGUGAGUAACGCGUGAGCAACAUACCCGUAUCAGUGGGAUAAUACAGGGAAACUUGUUCUAAUAUCGCAUAAUAUUAUUCAGAGGCAUCUUUGUAUAAUUAAAGUUAUGGCGGAUACGGAAUGGCUCGCGUGACAUUAGCUAGAUGGUAGGGUAAUGGCCUACCAUGGCGAUGAUGUCUAGGGGUUCUGAGAGGGAGGUCCCCCACACUGGAACUGAGACACGGUCCAGACUCCUACGGGAGGCAGCAGUGAGGAAUAUUGGACAAUGGAUGGAAAUCUGAUCCAGCCAUGCCGCGUGCAGGAAGGCGGCCCUAUGGGUUAGUAAACUGUCUUUUGUACGGGAGCAAUAAGGUCUACGAGUAGAUUGAUGAGAGUACUGUACGAAUAGCAUCGGCUAACUCCG